CUCCCCUCAGCUCUGGGGACAGAGCUAGGGGACCUGGGAGCUCUGACAAGGGUCCUAAGUACCACUAGUCCCCAGGGCAGGAGGGGACCGGAAGGAGGGGAAAGGAGGUGUAGAGCCUUUUCCAGGAAGGGCCUUGGGAGUAGAGCACCAAACUGAGGAAGGGCGGGAGAAGACAGAGCCAGAAAGAGGGACAGAGGGCAGCACAACAGAGGAGCGGAGGAGAAGGGGAGCCUCCCCCUCCCGGUCAUCCCCACACCCAGCACCCAGCCACCAGGUUCCCCGGGAAGCCUCCACGGAAAGGCUGUGCUAAUCGGGCGCUCGUUUAAGCACCAUCACCCACCCCUGUACCUUCACCCCUCCCAAGGGGCCCUCACCCACGGGACGCCAGCCUCCAGGUAGCGAGGAGACCGGAGGAAGGAGGACACAGAAACAGGGCCCUCGGGUCUCCGAUGCAGCCACAUGGAACCACAGCCAGGGGGCAGUAAGGACGGCACUGACAAGCCACCACCUUUUCACGGUCUCCUGGAGACAACCUGAGAGUGCUCUCCCCGCUGGGCAUCUGGCUGUCCAUGAGAUGGGGCCGUCUGGGCCACCAAGGGUGCUGCGCAGAGUCACAGUGGAGCUGGUGCCCCCGUGAGGCUGGCCUUCCCGGUUACACCGCAACAGCAGCUCUCGGCGUGGUGCUGGUUGGGUGGGAAUGGAUGUCCACGUGUCUGUGCAUCCGUCUGUCCUGGAGCUAGGGCUCAGUGGCUCAGCCCAAGUCUUCCCUCUGCUUCCCUCUCCUGGACAUAGGGAAGAGAGGCAUCCUCCCUGCUGUCCCCCAGGUUUGCCACCUGCCCCACCCAGCGGUGUCUGCAUCAGCUACCCUUCAAGGCCUCUACGAAGUCAUCCUUCUGACCUCGGUGCUUGCUCUUCCACCCUGAGGUUCUACGGCGUUCUCACAGCGUAGAGCAGAGGUGUCACACUGCCCCCCAGGGGCUACCCCAGUCACUGCAGGCUGAAGGCCAUCCCUCCCCAGGGAAGAAUCUGGUCAGCACGCUGCAGCCUCAGCUGCUGGGCUGGAUGGUAGAGGUCGAGUCUGAGGCAGAGGGAGCAGGCAGGUGGCAGACUCCAGGGCCACUGGACCCUGGCCAGAAGCUGUGGGGUUCUACUUCCUAACCCCCACCUGGGCCCCUCCUCCAGGCUGUAGUCAGCUCCGAGUUGUCUUCACUGUGUCCCAAGUGGGCCUUCUUUCCCAGGGGACAGCAAAUGGCUAAGGAUAAGAGGUGACCCACCUUUUUUCUGAGCCAAGCUUGUCCUCCCCACCAGAAUCUGUGAGCCAAGUGAGGGACCCUGUCAGAGGCUGCUGGCUCCUCAUUGACCUGAGGAACUCAGACCUGGCACCAGGCCAUGGGAAUAUUGUGGAGGAGAGCCCCCAAGUUCAGCCACUGAGGGGGCAGGACGGUGGUAGGUAUCUGCUGCAUCCAGCACAGCUCUCAAAAAUUCCUGGGGUGAAGGAUGGUAGAAGAUGAAGAAAUAAAGAUAAGAGUUAGAAUAUAGAAAGCCGAGGCCAGAGGGAGCCUCCUCUCCUGAUAAGAGAAAAGAACUGCUCAACCACCGAAGCACGUUUAUUCAUACACUCAGCAGGUUGAUGUCACGUGACACUCCUCUGUUUGCUUGGACUGCCUCAGGUGCCUGGUGUUCUCUGGACUGGAGCAGCCUGUUCAUGUGGCUCACCUCAAGUGCUCUUUAUUCUUGGGACUGACCUUGCUCCAGCCCCACACAUGUGAUUGAUCUCCAGCUUCACCCACUCCCCACAUCUCUUCCUUUCCUGUUUUGUAGUUGCAAGCAAUGGGUGGUCAGUUGAAUUUGGAGGAGCCGUGUUUGGAGGACUCUACAGAGGACCUUAUCACCCUUGAACCCUUUCCAUUCAGACUGAACUUACUCGUUUAGGCUAAAGGUUCCCAGCCCAAGAAGAAUGUCAAGUCCUUGCAUUCAGGAACAUAACUCUCUACUGUCCAUUAAUCCAUAACAGUACAUAGUCAGUUACCAGUACAGCUGGAAACUGUCAGAAGGUGUUAGUGAUUUGAGUUUCUUUUAUAGCUAGCAUAUUACCAUGGCAUUACCUUGUACCUCUUAUAGUUAUACUUUUUAGCUAGAUGUUCAAAACCAAGUGAAGGUGAGACCUGUGUUAAUUAAAAUUAUUUUUUGCUGUCUGUCAAGUUCAGUUAGUUCCCCCCAGGAAUUACCUUGGAACCACACAUAGCACCUUUUAGUUCUCCUGUCAAUGUCAGCCAUCUGGAUGAGCCAUAGGCAUUGCUUGACCAAGUUCCUCUCUGUGAAAGCAGGGGAUAUUUUCUCUCCUGGUGACUCUCCUUAGGCACACUAUACAUCAUUGAUCAUUUUCCUCUGUGAUCCUACAAUCUCCUUGGUCAAGAGUUUGUAUAACCCACCAGAGUUGUAGGAUGUCACUAAAAGUUUCCCUCAUGUUCUGAGUCCUUACUGACCUCUGAGGGCUGGAGCCAAAAUAUUAUCUGUCCUUCUAGUCCAUCUAUCUGUCUAGUUUUUGAUCUCUACACCUCAGUUGUUGAACAUCCAGAAGAGAAGGUUAAUGACAUUACAUUGUAUUGGGAACAGUGAGCUUAAUAUUAUACAAAAUAGCACCAUUAUUUCAUACCAACCACAGGUAUUUUGUGUUUGAGUCCCUGUAGAAUGUUAACAGAAAAGGGUUGUAUAUUUUACACAGAAAAUUAGAAAUCAAAAGCCAUGCAUGAUAGUGUAGCAUCACAGUCAGGAUGUCAUUUUUGUAACACACCUGAAUUUACAUUUUGACAUAAAGUAGCCCUUUUAGUCACUUAUCCCUAUCUAGUACAUAAGGAGCUUUUACCUAACUUGUUGACCUUUAAUGGGAUGUACGUCACAUAAAUUUUGUUAAUAUUA